rnacentral:rRNA from 1 species
UACGUAGGGGGCAAGCGUUGUCCGGAAUUAUUGGGCGUAAAGCGCGUGUAGGCGGCUCGGUAAGUCUGGUGUGAAAACUCGAGGCUUAACCUCGAGAUGUCAUCGGAAACCAUCUGGCUAGAGUCCGGAAGAGGAGAGUGGAAUUCCUGGUGUAGCGGUGAAAUGCGCAGAUAUCAGGAAGAACACCAAUGGCGAAAGCAGCUCUCUGGGACGGUACUGACGCUGAGACGCGAAAGCGUGGGGAGCGAACAGG